CCCUGAGCCACGAAAGCGUGGGGAGCAACAGGUUUAGAUAACCUGGUAGUCCACGCUGUAAACGAUGAGUGUUAGGUUCGGGGGUUUCACACCCUCGGUGCCGGAGUUAACGCAAUAAGCACUCCGCCUGGGGAGUACGGUCGCAAGACUGAAACUCAAAGGAAUUGACGGGGACCCGCACAAGCAGCGGAGCAUGUGGUUUAAUUCGAAGCAACGCGAAGAACCUUACCAGGACUUGACAUCCCUUUGACAGCACCUUAACCGGAGCCUUCCCUUCGGGGACAAAGGAGACAGGUGGUGCAUGGUUGUCGUCAGCUCGUGUCGUGAGAUGUUGGGUUAAGUCCCGCAACGAGCGCAACCCUUGCCUUUAGUUGCCAUCGGUAAGGCUGGGCACUCUAGAGGGACUGCCGGUGACAAACCGGAGGAAGGUGGGGAUGACGUCAAAUCAUCAUGCCCCUUAUGUUCUGGGCUACACACGUGCUACAAUGGCUGGUACAACGGGCAGCGAAGGAGUAAUCCGAAGCGAAUCCUACAAAGCCAGUCCUAGUUCGGAUUGUGGGCUGCAACUCGCCCACAUGAAGCCGGAGUUGCUAGUAAUCGUGAAUCAGAAUGUCGCGGUGAAUGCGUUCCCGGGUCUUGUACACACCGCCCGUCACACCAUGGGAGCUCAGGGCACUCGAAGUCAGCGCUAGGCGCAAGCUGAAGCUGCCGAAGGUGAAAUGAGUGACUGGGGUGAAGUCGUAACAAGGUAACCGU
rnacentral:rRNA from 1 species